rnacentral:rRNA from 1 species
GAUGAACGCUAGCGAUAGGCUUAACACAUGCAAGUCGAGGGGCAGCAUGGUCUUAGCUUGCUAAGACUGAUGGCGACCGGCGCACGGGUGCGUAACGCGUAUGCAACUUGCCUCACAGAGGGGGAUAACCCGUCGAAAGACGGACUAAUACCGCGUACACUCCAUCUUGGGCAUCCAAGGUAGAGGAAAUGAAAUUCGCUGUGAGAUAGGCAUGCGUCCCAUUAGCUAGUUGGUGAGGUAACGGCUCACCAAGGCGACGAUGGGUAGGGGAACUGAGAGGUUGAACCCCCACACUGGUACUGAGACACGGACCAGACUCCUACGGGAGGCAGCAGUGAGGAAUAUUGGUCAAUGGGCGAGAGCCUGAACCAGCCAAGUCACGUGAAGGAUGACUGUCUUAUGGAUUGUAAACUUCUUUUAUACGGGAAUAACAAGAGUCACGUGUGACUCCCUGCAUGUACCGUAUGAAUAAGCAUCGGCUAACUCCGUG